CAGUCGCCGCGGUAAUACGAAGGGUGCAAGCGUUACUCGGAAUUACUGGGCGUAAAGCGUGCGUAGGUGGUGGUUUAAGUCCGUUGUAAAAGCCCUGGGCUCAACCUGGGAAUUGCAGUGGAUACUGGGUCACUAGAGUGUGGUAGAGGAUAGUGGAAUUUCCGGUGUAGCAGUGAAAUGCGUAGAGAUCGGAAGGAACAUCUGUGGCGAAGGCGACUAUCUGGGCCAACACUGACACUGAGGCACGAAAGCGUGGGGAGCAAACAGGAUUAGAUACCCCGGUAGUCCCUGUCUCUUAUAU
rnacentral:rRNA from 1 species